rnacentral:rRNA from 1 species
AGCAGCCUCCGUAAUUCCAGCUCCAAUAGCGUAUAUUAAAGUUGUUGCAGUUAAAAAGCUCGUAGUUGAAUUUCGGGAUCAAUUUAUCGGUCGUGCAAUAGUACGUACUGAUUUUAUUGAUUCCUCCCUUCUGAUGAACUAUGAUGUCACUAAUUUGGUGUCAUAGGGAAUCAGGACUGUUACUUUGAAAAAACUAGAGUGUUUAAAGCAGGCUCACGCUUGAAUACAUUAGCAUGGAAUAACGAAAUAGGACGUUUGAUUCUAUUUUGUUGGUUUCUAGGAUCGACGUAAUGAUUAAUAGGGAUAGUUGGGGGCAUUAGUAUUCAAUUGUCAGAGGUGAAAUUCUUGGAUUUAU